GGCUGGUCUGAGUGUAGGGGUGUUUACAACUAAUUGAUCACAACUCAUUACAGAUUUCUUUGCUCUUCCUCCACUCCCACUGCUUCACUUGACUAGCCUUCA
ensembl:misc_RNA Y_RNA Y RNA